rnacentral:rRNA from 1 species
UAAAGAUUCAUCGCUGAUAGACAGGCAUGCGUUCCAUUAGGCAGUUGGCGGGGUAACGGCCCACCAAACCGACGAUGGAUAGGGGUUCUGAGAGGAAGGUCCCCCACAUUGGUACUGAGACACGGACCAAACUCCUACGGGAGGCAGCAGUGAGGAAUAUUGGUCAAUGGGCGUAAGCCUGAACCAGCCAAGUCGCGUGAGGGAUGAAGGUUCUAUGGAUCGUAAACCUCUUUUAUAAGGGAAUAAAGUGCGGGACGUGUCCCGUUUUGUAUGUACCUUAUGAAUAAGGAUCGGCUAACUCCGUGCCAGCAGCCGCGGUAAUACGGAGGAUCCGAGCGUUAUCCGGAUUUAUUGGGUUUAAAGGGUGCGUAGGCGGCCUUUUAAGUCAGCGGUGAAAGUCUGUGGCUCAACCAUAGAAUUGCCGUUGAAACUGGGAGGCUUGAGUAUGUUUGAGGCAGGCGGAAUGCGUGGUGUAGCGGUGAAAUGCUUAGAUAUCACGCAGAACCCCGAUUGCGAAGGCAGCCUGCCAAGCCAUGACUGACGCUGAUGCACGAAAGCGUGGGGAUCAAACAGGAUUAGAUACCCUGGUAGUCCACGCAGUAAACGAUGAUCACUAGCUGUUUGCGAUACACAGUAA